rnacentral:sRNA from 12 species
GCUAUGGAGUAUGAUACCAAACGUUAGUAGCCCGAAUGUAAACGAGGGCGAGAACGCAUACGAGGAAAUAGCAA